CUGGAUUUGACAUCCCGGGAAGUCCUUUGAAAGAAGGAUGUGCCCUUCGGGGAACCCGGUGACAGGUGCUGCAUGGCUGUCGUCAGCUCGUGUCGUGAGAUGUUGGGUUAAGUCCCGCAACGAGCGCAACCCUUUUCUUUAUUUGCCAUCAUUAAGUUGGGAACUCUAAAGAGACUGCCCCGGUUAACGGGGAGGAAGGUGGGGAUGACGUCAAGUCCUCAUGGCCCUCAUGUCCAGGGCUACACACGUGCUACAAUGGGCUGUACAAAGGGUUGCGAACCCGCGAGGGUAAGCCAAUCCCAAAAAGCAGUUCUCAGUUCGGAUUGGAGUCUGCAACUCGACUCCAUGAAGCUGGAAUCGCUAGUAAUCGUGGAUCAGCACGCCACGGGAAUACGUUCCC
rnacentral:rRNA from 1 species